GGCCGGUAUAGGCCUAAGAUGUCAUGGGUACCUGAGGUUUAACUUAAUCAUUUAAUGUUAAAAUAGAAGCUUUAUUCAUACUCAUCUUCGAAAAUGAGUAUAAUAGUUAUAUGCAGUUACUUCCGCGGUUUCUCUAGAACAGGAUAAGUGUAAUUCACCUUUGUCUGCAACCAGUUACAGACAAGAGUGAAAAGCAGGUAGUCAAUAUCAUCAGCUGACAACUUGGGCUGCUCUUA